rnacentral:lncRNA from 1 species
UCAAGAGAGACUUUGUGGCCAUGGCAGCCUCUCUCCAAUCCACCGCUACAUUCCUCCAGUCGGCGAAGAUCGCCACCGCUCCUUCUCGCGGAAGUUCUCACCUCCGAUCGACUCAAGCCGUCGGCAAAUCUUUUGGGCUCGAAACUUCCUCGGCUCGCCUCACUUGCUCCUUCCAGUCUGACUUUAAGGACUUCACCGGUAAAUGCUCCGACGCUGUCAAAAUCGCCGGAUUCGCUCUUGCCACCUCUGCUCUCGUCGUCUCGGUAACUUUCUUUAAUCUCCGACUCUCCUUUAAAACUAUAGAUUAAUCAAGAAAAAAAAGGAGAAUUGAGUAACAGAGAAGAAGAGUAUUUUGUUGUGUUUGUGAUAACAUGUUUAUGAUUUGCAUUACUAUGUAUCGAAGUUGGCACUUGAGAACACCUAAACCAAUAACAGACUCGGAUAGUAUAAUAGAAGGAGAAACCGCUAUUCCAAUUCUGUAAUCUUCGAUUCAUGUAGAUACAAUCUUCUUGGAUCAGUGAGUUUGAUUUAAAGUUGCUUGUUUCUCGUGUAAUGAAAGGGAGCAAGUGCGGAGGGAGCUCCAAAGAGAUUGAC